CGCUAUUUCUGAAAGUAUAAAGAAAAUAAAUUACUCAAAUUUGAAACUACUCUUUGGCCUAUCAUCCAAGAUGGUUGGUGUGGAUCGGUUUAUUUAUUUAUUCUGUUUUUUCGUCUCUAUUCAGGUCAUCCUUGGGUACGCAGUUUGGGAGUUCGGACGGAAUAAAAAGGGUAGCGAAGUGAUUGCCCACUAUCACGGGGAAAUGACGCUAACCCAAAAAUAUAGAUCCGUGAACUUACCAGUACCGGAAUGCAUGGAAAUAAUAUACGUUCAAGUAGAAGUUGAGAAUGAUUUCACUACGCCCGAAGUGAAGUACAACUGGACUACAACCACGGUCGCAAUAAAUUACAAGAAGUCGCAGAAGAGUACCAGCUAUUACGACAUUGUUGCAAGAGCUAUUAAAGAUAAAGACUGCGGUGGAUCUACUCAUAAGGAACUUAGGUUUAAAAACAAAUUUUUGACAACAUACACGAAUUAAAUAACAACUUUUUGAAAAGUACUAUGUAGUUAACAGGUAACUGGGCUUUUGUUUGUUAAUUUAGUAAAGUAUGUAGAUAUGCGUCUGCACGACGCCUUUCUAAUCAAGAUCGUCCAAAUCUAAAAUAUUUUUAUUCAAAAACUUAAUUCCCUUUGUUCAAAUCUUAUUAGCAUUAUUUUUCCAAACUAGUAAAGUGUUUUUUGUCCAAAAAGCAUAUUGUGAGAUUGUUUAAUUUUUAGUUCCAACGUUUCUAAGACUCUUCAGUAUUCAUGAUCAUGUGGGUAGACUCCGAAAACUGCGAUGUAAACCGUCACAUUAGUUUUAACCAACAACUAACGCGUAAAUAAAAAUUCUUGUUCCAAUGUAAACAUAAUUUUAAUACAUUUAAUUAAAGAUUGUAUAAAUUUA